rnacentral:rRNA from 1 species
AACGAACGCUGGCGGCGCGCCUAAUACAUGCAAGUCGAGCGAGAAGACGUAGCAAUACGUUUGUAAAGCGGCGAACGGGUGAGGAAUACAUGGGUAACCUACCCUCGAGUGGGGAAUAACUAGCCGAAAGGUUAGCUAAUACCGCGUACGCUCCUUGGACUUCGGUUCAGGGAGGAAAGCGAUACCGUGGGUAUCGCGCUCUUGGAUGGGCUCAUGUCCUAUCAGCUUGUUGGUGAGGAACGGCUCACCAAGGCUUCGACGGGUAGCUGGUCUGAGAGGACAAUCAGCCACACUGGCACUGCGACACGGGCCAGACUCCUACGGGAGGCAGCAGUAAGGAUAUUGCGCAAUGGGCAAAGCCUGACGCAGCGACGCCGCGUGGGGGAUGAAGGUCUUCGGA